UUGAACGCUGGCGGCAGGCCUAACACAUGCAAGUCGAGCGGAUGAAGGGAGCUUGCUCCUGGAUUCAGCGGCGGACGGGUGAGUAAUGCCUAGGAAUCUGCCUGGUAGUGGGGGAUAACGUCCGGAAACGGGCGCUAAUACCGCAUACGUCCUGAGGGAGAAAGUGGGGGAUCUUCGGACCUCACGCUAUCAGAUGAGCCUAGGUCGGAUUAGCUAGUUGGUGGGGUAAAGGCCUACCAAGGCGACGAUCCGUAACUGGUCUGAGAGGAUGAUCAGUCACACUGGAACUGAGACACGGUCCAGACUCCUACGGGAGGCAGCAGUGGGGAAUAUUGGACAAUGGGCGGAAGCCUGAUCCAGCCAUGGCGCGUGUGUGAAGAGGGUCUUCGGAUUGUAAAGCACUUUAAGUUGGGAGGAAGGGCAGUAAGUUAAUACCUUGCUGUUUUGACGUUACCAACAGAAUAAGCACCGGCUAACUUCGU
rnacentral:rRNA from 1 species